rnacentral:rRNA from 1 species
UCAAACGGAAUCCUUCGGGAUUUAGUGGCGGACGGGUGAGUAACGCGUGAGAAUCUGCCUUCAGGUUCGGGACAACAGCUGGAAACGGCUGCUAAUACCGGAUGUGCCGAGAGGUGAAAGCUUAAGUGCCUGGAGAUGAGCUCGCGUCUGAUUAGCUAGUAGGAGUGGUAACGGCACCCCUGGGCGACGAUCAGUAGCUGGUCUGAGAGGAUGAUCAGCCACACUGGGACUGAGACACGGCCCAGACUCCUACGGGAGGCAGCAGUGGGGAAUUUUCCGCAAUGGGCGCAAGCCUGACGGAGCAAGACCGCGUGAGGGAAGAAGGUCUGUGGAUUGUAAACCUCUUUUGAUAGGGAAGAAGACAGUGACGGUACCUAUCGAAUCAGCCUCGGCUAACUCCGUGCCAGCAGCCGCGGUAAUACGGAGGAGGCAAGCGUUAUCCGGAAUUAUUGGGCGUAAAGAGUCCGUAGGUGGGUAACCAAGUCAGCUGUUAAAUAGUGAAGCUUAACUUCAUAGAGGCGGCUGAAACUGGUUGUCUAGAGUGUGGUAGGGGUAGAGGGAAUUUCCAGUGUAGCGGUGAAAUGCGUAGAUAUUGGAAAGAACACCGGUGGCGAAAGCGCUCUACUGGGCCUGCACUGACACUGAGGGACGAAAGCUAGGGGAGCGAAAGGGAUUAGAUACCCCUGUAGUCCUAGCCGUAAACGAUGGAUACUAGGCGUUGCCCGUAUCGACCCGAGCCGU